rnacentral:rRNA from 1 species
GACGAACGCUGGCGGCGUGCUUAACACAUGCAAGUCGAACGGAAACGCCCUGCUUUUGUGGGCUGCUCUAGUGGCGAACGGGUGAGUAACCCUUGAGUAACCUGCCCUUGACUUUGGGAUAUCUUCAGGAAACUUGGGCUCAUACCGGAUAGGAUCUCCUGCUGCAUGGUGGGCGUUGGAUAGUUUCGGCGGUUGGUGAUGGACUCGCGGCGUAUCAGCUUGGUGGUGGGGUAGUGUCUUACCAAGGCUUUGACGGGUAGCCGGCCUGAGAGGGUGGCCGGCCACAUUGGGACUGAGAUACGACCCAGACUCCUACGGGAGGCAGCAGUGGGGAAGAUUGCACAGUGGGCGGAAGCCUGAUGCAGCAACGCCGCGUGCGGGAUGACGGGCUUCGGGUAGUAAACCGAUUUCGCCUGUGACGAAGCGUGAGUGACGGUAAUGGGUAAAGAAGCACCGGCUAACUACGUG